AAAAAGAGAGAGAGAAAGAACUAACUCAUUCCGGAAAGUACCAGAUAAACUUGGAACAUCUUGUUACACCAGAAUAUAAGGAUGAUGGAUUGUGAAGGAAGUCUUACUACAGAUGAGAGGCUAGAGGACCAGAGAAGUUAAGCAACAUGCCCAAGACUACACAGCUGACCGGGUCUCACUCUCUCAUCCAGACUGGAGUGCAGUGGCAGGAUUGAUCAAAGUUCAUUGCAGCCUGAAGUCCUGGACUCAAAGUGAU
rnacentral:lncRNA from 1 species